UAUAGACAUUUAAUACUAUAAAUUUCCCCUUUAGUAUAUUUAUAUAUUUUCUCCCUUAGUAUAUAUAUAUAUAUUUUUUUUCUAAUAUAAGCAUUUAAUGCUAUAAAUUUCUCCCUUAACAGCAUCCUAUAAAUUUUUAUAUGUAUUCUAGUUUUGUAUUGAUGAUUUGUAUUUCUAGUUUUAUUCAGUUCAAACUAUGUUUUCAUUUCUUUUUUGAGUUAUUCUUUGACCCCUAGGUUAUUUCAAAGUGUGUUAUAUAGUUUUCAAAUAUUUGGGGAUUUUCCAGUUAUCUUCUUGUUAUUGAUAUCUUUACACACAAGCACUGAUCAUUAUUCAAUUGAAUACUCAAGGAGACCCCCCCCCAUGCAGAUUUCCAGAACUUUCUCUAUGUAGCUGUCUCCUCUCUAAUAUUCUGCCCUAUCAAAUCACUGCCUUGCUCUCCCCAGGCUUUUAGCUACAUCCUCUUAAUUCAGGAUGUCCUUUGGGUGCCUCCUACUUUCCCCUUCCUGCACCACACCCAGGAAAUUCUCUCAAAGUAUAAAUCUGGGAUAAUUAUAGGGUUCAUUUUCUUUUUUUCCAUCUUUCAGAGACCACUAUACUUCAUUGCCUGAUGCCUAGUGUCUUGAAAACUGUUAUUUUAUACAUUCUGUCUGUUUUCUGGAUGUUUUAGGUAGGAGGGAAGGUCUAGUUCCUGUGACUUCAUCUUGUCUUGAAGUAGAAGUCUGGACUGUAUAUAUUUUUUUUCUUUUUUAACAUUUAUUUUCAUCCCUUGCUGCAUCUAAUACAGUUCCAUUUGCAUGAAGAAAAACUCCAUGUGUACAGAUGAAAUAUACAAGAGGCAGAGGCAGAAGGCCUGGGUUUUGGUCCCCUGUGUUUGGAAUAACAGAUUAUGUGCCCUCGAGCAAUCAUUUACCAUCUCUGAAUGUGGUCAUCUACCCUGCCCAGUCUAAUAAUAACACAGCUGGAGCAACAAGUCCACUCUGUCUGCCAAGCAAACUUCAGGCCAAAUGGGGGCCUCUGCUCCACGGGGGAAAGGAUAUGACUUGACAUAAUCCAGGCGACACACAUUUGGACUGGCUUGCAGGCCAUUUCACAUUUUGCUGUAAACAAUUUAGGAAUCCGCAUCCUCAUCUGAGGUUACAUAUGGAAAAGGUACGUUGUGGUGAUGUUGUUGCUGUUGUUGAAUGAACUGUGCAAAUAAGAGGAGGGGGUAGUUGGCUCACUCCUUUCUCUCUAUGCAAGAAUGCUGACUUUCCAGUUUCUAUAAAAGGGAUCUCAGACUCCUCCUUAAGUGGCCCAAGACACAGCUGGGGUCACUAGAGGGAGAAAAGAAGACUUUAUAGAGAGUAAACAAAUAGAAAAGUCUUAGAGGAUGGUUACUCUUUAAGGGCACGUUCUCUGGUCAAAUUGCUGAUGGCACAAGUCAAUGUUGUACGUCCAAUGUUUUUAUGUAGGAAGCUGCUGAAAUUCUGAAUUCUGCUCCUCUGAAAAGACUGUAGUGACAAACUGGAAUGUUAUUUAUUUUUUUACUUUGGAAAUGAGAACCUGUUUGUUUUCAGGUUGGUUUUCCCUUAAACUUCUAAUCCUGUCUGGCAGAAGAGCCUGUGCAUAGAAUGGAUUCCUAUCCACCACUUACUUCUGGUCCUACAAGCUGUCUCAUGCUAAGAAUUUGUCUCAGGACAAAAAAGUAAGGCAAGCUGAAUUAUAUUUUUCAACCAGAAAAUGCCAGCCUGCAGAUUAAGAGGUCAGUGCUGCCACAGUUGGCCAACCAGCUAAAACUGUUUCUGUUGAAAUAAUCUUCAUUCAUUCAUUUCACUAUUUUAUAAAUAGUUUGGAGGGCACCUGGGUGACCCAGUUGAUUAACCAUUGAACUCUGGAUUUCAGCUCAGGUCAUCAUCUCAUGGUCAUGAGAUUGAGCCCCACAUGGGGCUCUGUGCUGAGCAUGGAGGCUGCUUGAUAGUCUCUCUUGCCUUCUUUGCCCCUCCCCAUGUGCUUGCAUGUGAACGCACACUUGCUCUCUCUCAAAAUAAAUAUUUUUAAUUUUUUUUUUAAUUUUCUGCU
ensembl:lncRNA